GACGAACGCUGGCGGCGUGCUUAACACAUGCAAGUCGAACGGAAAGGCCCUGCUUUUGUGGGGUGCUCGAGUGGCGAACGGGUGAGUAACACGUGAGUAACCUGCCCCUGACUUUGGGAUAACUUCAGGAAACUGGGGCUAAUACCGGAUAGGAGCUCCUGCUGCAUGGUGGGGGUUGGAAAGUUUCGGCGGUUGGGGAUGGACUCGCGGCUUAUCAGCUUGUUGGUGGGGUAGUGGCUUACCAAGGCUUUGACGGGUAGCCGGCCUGAGAGGGUGACCGGCCACAUUGGGACUGAGAUACGGCGCAGACUCCUACGGGAGGCAGCGGUGGGGAAUAUUGCGCAAUGGGCGGGAGCCUGAUGCAGCGGCGCCGCGUGCGGGAUGACGGCCUUCGGGUUAUAAACCGCUUUCGCCUGUGACGAAGCGUGAGUGACGGUAAUGGGUAAAGAAGCACCGGCUAACUACGUG
rnacentral:rRNA from 1 species